rnacentral:rRNA from 1 species
UACGGAGGAGGCAAGCGUUAUCCGGAAUUAUUGGGCGUAAAGCGUCCGCAGGUGGCACUUCAAGUCUGUCGUCAAAGACUGGGGCUUAACCCUGGAAAGGCGGUGGAAACUGAAGCGCUAGAGUGUGGUAGGGGUAGAGGGAAUUCCCGGUGUAGCGGUGAAAUGCGUAGAGCUCGGGAAGAACAUCGGUGGCGAAAGCGCUCUGCUGGACUGCAACUGACACUCAGGGACGAAAGCUAGGGGAGCGAAUGGG